rnacentral:lncRNA from 1 species
AAAAAAAUCGAAAACAAUGUAAUUAUCCGUCCUCGAGUAUCAGUCAACAGCCCUUACCAAAAAAUAUUGUAUUAAAUUGCAAUGAAUUAUGGAUCUUACAAAACUGGAACAUAAGACGUAGUAAGCAUGCUGGCGAACGUGAGAUCAGACUUUUUUGAUUCUGUAAUUCUAUUUCAAAGUCAUAAUAAACAGGUGACCGGUGAAAUAUAAUGUCAUUCCAAUUCUUGAACCAAUGCAUACAGACAUCAUAAACUUAGUCUCUCUGCGCGAUUUGAUCAUUUUUUUUGCAUAAAUUUUGUAUAAACGUUAUUUGUUUUUCAAUCGGUCAGUGUUGUGAAAAUAAGGCAGGUAAUUAAAGUUCGUGUUUUGAUUUUGAAGCCGAAGUUUAACGAUUGUCACCUGUUUGUCAACAAUCCACCAAAAAGCAUGGAUAUUGAGAACGUGUUUAACAUGUACAAUCAGAUAAUAGUUUAUUUUAAGGACAUCCAUGCGUAUUGCGAUCACCAGAUUUUUACGAGAUGGGUCACACCGGAGGUCACUUUGCAUACGGAAAAUAUGUCGGGG